CCGCCACACACUCGCUCACACCCCCACAGGCGGGCAGCAAGCAGACCCGCAGCCGCAGCACCCCAGCAAGGACAUUCGCCCGAGAUGCUCACCUAGGCAUCCCACUUCCCUCGCUCCCCACCACCUCAACGAAGGUGGCAGCUUGCCCCCAUUUCCUCAGGAGCUCUGGGGGAAGUAUGAAUUAUUACCAGCUCACUUGAGAGUCCUGGCUUCACCUGUUUUUAAUUAUUUCAGUUUUGUCCAAACCUUUAAGCCAGGUUUGAUAGCACUAGUGCACUUUUUUUUUUUUUUCCCCUAAGGCUCAGCUUGGCUGAACUGAAGCAGAGACUCCCAAGGGUCGGAGCCAUCGAGGGUGUGCGUGUCUAUGUGUGUGCCUGUGGGUGUGGGAGGCAGAGAGGGAGCGAGAGAGAGACAAAAACUCCAUCAACCCGGACAAUGCCACCUCUUGUUUAAAGCUUCCAAACUGUUAUUCUUUCCCCCCAUUAUCACGGUACCAAGUAAUCUGUCUUUCCCCCACUCCAACCCCCCUCCCUCCUCUUGGAAGAUAUGGAAGAGGAAGAUAAAGCGGCUGGCUGCGGGCGCUGACGCCGCGCAGCCCGCAUGCCUCUGCCGCCACAGCCGGGGCUGCGGAGCGAGCCGCUUGCAGCGGGAUGGGAUGCAACUUCUGCUAAUUGGAUCACAGGUUUAAGUGGUAACUGGGUAUCUUGUUAGCAGAACAGCAAUGAAUAACUCAACGUACAUAAACUCUUCCACUGAAAAUGUGAUGGCUUUGGAAAGCCCCUAUAAAACUGUUGAGGUGGUCUUCAUCGUCCUGGUAGCAGGGUCUCUCAGUCUAGUCACCAUAAUUGGGAACAUCCUGGUCAUGGUGUCGAUCAAAGUCAACAGGCACCUCCAGACUGUGAACAACUAUUUCCUGUUCAGCUUGGCCUGCGCUGACUUGAUCAUCGGCAUCUUUUCAAUGAACCUGUACACCCUCUACACUGUGAUAGGCUACUGGCCCUUGGGGCCUGUGGUGUGUGACCUCUGGCUGGCUCUCGACUACGUGGCCAGCAAUGCCUCUGUAAUGAACCUCCUCAUUAUCAGCUUUGACAGAUACUUUUGUGUCACCAAGCCUCUGACAUACCCCGUGAAGCGGACCACUAAGAUGGCAGGCAUGAUGAUUGCAGCUGCCUGGGUUCUCUCCUUCAUCCUCUGGGCCCCUGCAAUUCUCUUCUGGCAAUUCAUUGUGGGAGGAAGGACUGUCCCAGAUGGGGACUGUUACAUCCAGUUUUUUUCCAACCCUGCUGUCACUUUUGGCACUGCCAUUGCAGCCUUCUAUUUGCCUGUUAUCAUCAUGACUGUCCUUUACUGGCAAAUCUCUCGAGCCAGUAAGAGCAGGAUAAAGAAGGCGAAAAAGGAAGCUGCACAAAACCAAGAUACAGUUUCCCCCAGCCUUGUCCAAGGUAAAAUAGUGAAACCAAACAAUAACAACAUCCCGACCAGUGGAGAUGGUUUGGAGCACAGCAAAAUUCAAAAUGGAAAACCCAGUGAGGAGACUGUGACUGAUAACUGUGUUCAAGCAGAGAAGGAGAGCUCCAACGACUCCACCUCUGUCAGUGUGGUAGCCUCCAACUUGAAAGAGGAUGAAGCUACCAAAGAUGCCAAACAGGCUUCUGCCUCCCAAGACCAUCUCAAAGUGGAGAACUCCAAGCUGACAUGCAUCAAGAUAGUCACAAAGUCCCCAAAGGGAGACUGCUGCGCCCCUACCAACACCACCGUGGAGAUCGUAGGCACGAACGGGGAGGAGAAGCAGAAUAGCGUAGCCCGGAAAAUAGUCAAGAUGACAAAGCAGCCAGCCAAAAAGAAACCACCCCCCUCUAGAGAGAAAAAAGUGACAAGGACUAUUUUAGCCAUCCUCCUGGCCUUCAUCAUCACCUGGACCCCAUACAAUGUGAUGGUGCUCAUCAACAGCUUCUGCACAUCCUGCAUCCCUAACACUGUGUGGACCAUAGGCUACUGGCUCUGUUAUAUCAACAGCACCAUCAACCCUGCUUGUUAUGCGCUCUGCAAUGCUACCUUCAAGAAGACCUUUAAGCACCUUCUUAUGUGCCAUUACAAGAAUAUAGGAGCUACAAGGUAAAAAUAAGAAUAAAAAUAAUUAUGGGAAGGGUGAAGAAGUUCCAAAUUAAAUUAAAAACCCACGAUGCUACAGCACUUUAUGCUCUUCUAUGGAAUGUGCAAUCCAGGAUGCUAGUGGAAAUCCUGACAUGGGGCAUCAGCUCUACCCCUGAGAACUACACUUAAAAACAUUUUUUUAAUAAUUGAAAACAAAUCUUUAGGACAUGGGUAUGUUUGAAAAAUUGUUCAAGGAUAUGGACUGGAGGCACAGUUCCUUACUUUCUGAGAGUAUUCUGCAGAGAAGGGCUUUAGAGUCUACAAUUUUUGGUCAUUCUGUGUAAAAUACUUGUUCUUCUUUUUUCUUUCUUUUUUUUUUUCUUAUCCCCUGUAUCCGUUUAACACAUUUUCAUCUAGGGAAAAAAAAAAAGAGGAAUUUUAAUAAUAACUGUGUGGAAGAGGCAUAGGAGUAUAGAAGAUCAUUGCAUAAUCCAAAUGCAUCAUGGCAGAAAUUUUCUAAAGUUCGAAGUUGUCUAACAGUUUUUUGCCACUGUCAUGUAAGAAGCUUGAUGUUGGGUACAUCGCGAUGAAAGUUAUGUUGUUUAUGACACCACGUUUCCAAAACUGCAUCAAUUCUGCAAGUGUACUUAUGCUCAACAUGUAAUCAUUGCCUAACUUGUAUAUCAUUCGAAGUCUGCAGCUUGUCCCAUUCUACAGGCUUUUGUUCUGUGACUACUUCAUCAUGUCAGGAUGAAAGUGAAAAGAUGUGGUCUCGUCCAGAUUGCUACAUCCCAAGACUACUUCAGCAUCCAUGUAAACCAAAGCUUUUGAGACGAUUUUGUUCACUUUGUUUGUCACAUAAUAUCAACGUGUGGAUUUGUCUUUUACCUCCAUCAGCCUUUUCUUCCUGUUUGUACCUUAACUUGUCCAGGGCACAAAGACUGAAUAUCAAAAUUGUAAAUUCAGAGGUCUCAUACAAUCAGCCACCAUGGCGGUCAGACAAAGGGUCUCAGCUGAAGAAUAGAAAUGAGGUUGUUACUAGGAAAAUGGAGCUUACAUCCUUUUAAAGUUGGAUGUACCGAUUGAGAGGUUUCGCUUCCCUUCUGAGCGAUAGUUCUGCGAGAUCUAGAUGUCAGUCUUGAAGAGCAGCUCUCCCUGGGUAACUUCUCCAGCUCGCCUGGCUGUCACCUGCACACCACUGGCCCCAAGGCCCCAGGUGCCCUUCUACAGGAACUGCUGCAUCUUCACCUUGGGUUUGACCAGAACAUUCCACUGGCACAUCCACAUCAUGUGUUGCACUGGUGACUUUUGUUUCACAUAGAAAUGGAGCAAACUGUGCACUUGAUUCAAGAGAAAAAAAACAACCAACCAACCAAACAAAAACCUCACCACAAAAUGACAACCAACAACAAAAAACCUGCAGCUAGAGCUUCUUGCCCCCUCUUUUUUUCCUAUUUACUAUUUCCAGAAAGAGACCAAAACUUAAAAGUUCCAAUCAACCCUUGAUAUUAACCUUGCUGCAGCAGGAUCUGUCCCAUUGGCAACCCAUGGGGAGUGGCUUGUACUGUCACAGGCCAGCCCUACUUUCACUCUCCAGAAGGAGAACAGCAGUCUGAAGAUAUGUCAGUUCAGUGGAAAAGAAGGAAAGAAA